UACGUAGGGGGCAAGCGUUGUCCGGAAUUACUGGGCGUAAAGAGCGUGUAGGCGGCUUUGCAAGUCCGUUGUGAAAACUCGAGGCUCAACCUCGAGACGCCGGUGGAAACUGCAAAGCUAGAGUCCGGGAGAGGAGAGUGGAAUUCCAGGUGUAGCGGUGAAAUGCGCAGAUAUCAGGAAGAACACCAGUGGCGAAGGCGGCUCUCUGGGACGGUACUGACGCUGAGACGCGAAAGCGUGGGGAGCGAACAGG
rnacentral:rRNA from 1 species